rnacentral:rRNA from 1 species
AGUUUGAUCCUGGCUCAGGAUGAACGCUAGCUACAGGCUUAACACAUGCAAGUCGAGGGGCAGCAUGAACUUAGCUUGCUAAGUUUGAUGGCGACCGGCGCACGGGUGAGUAACACGUAUCCAACCUUCCGUUUACUCAGGGAUAGCCUUUCGAAAGAAAGAUUAAUACCUGAUAGUAUGGUGAGAUUGCAUGAUAACACCAUUAAAGAUUUAUUGGUAAACGAUGGGGAUGCGUUCCAUUAGGUAGUAGGCGGGGUAACGGCCCACCUAGCCUGCGAUGGAUAGGGGUUCUGAGAGGAAGGUCCCCCACAUUGGAACUGAGACACGGUCCAAAUCCUACGGGAGGCAGCAGUGAGGAAUAUUGGUCAAUGGGCGAGAGCCUGAACCAGCCAAGUAGCGUGAAGGAUGAAGGUCCUACGGAUUGUAAACUUCUUUUAUACGGGAAUAAAGUAUCCUACGUGUAGGAUUUUGUAUGUACCGUAUGAAUAAGCAUCGGCUAACUCCGUGCCAGCAGCCGCGGUAAUACGGAGGAUGCGAGCGUUAUCCGGAUUUAUUGGGUUUAAAGGGAGCGCAGACGGGAGAUUAAGUCAGUUGUGAAAGUUUGCGGCUCAACCGUAAAAUUGCAGUUGAUACUGGUUUCCUUGAGUGCAGUUGAGGCAGGCGGAAUUCGUGGUGUAGCGGUGAAAUGCUUAGAUAUCACGAAGAACCCCGAUUGCGAAGGCAGCUUGCUAAACUGUAACUGACGUUCAUGCUCGAAAGUGUGGGUAUCAAACAGGAUUAGAUACCCUGGUAGUCCACACGGUAAACGAUGGAUACUCGCUGUUGGCGAUAUACUGUCAGCGGCCAAGCGAAAGCAUUAAGUAUCCCACCUGGGGAGUACGCCGGCAACGGUGAAACUCAAAGGAAUUGACGGGGGCCCGCACAAGCGGAGGAACAUGUGGUUUAAUUCGAUGAUACGCGAGGAACCUUACCCGGGCUUAAAUUGCAGACGAAUUACGAGGAAACUUGUAAGCCGCAAGGCGUCUGUGAAGGUGCUGCAUGGUUGUCGUCAGCUCGUGCCGUGAGGUGUCGGCUUAAGUGCCAUAACAAGCGCAACCCUCGUGNUCAGUUACUAACAGGUUAAGCUGANGACUCUGGCCAGACUGCCAUCGUAAGAUGUGAGGANGGUGGA